CUAUUUGAAAUCCUUUUAUGAAUUUUAAUCAUAGCAAAUGUGUUUUAACAGUAGUCAUAAAAUCAACAUUACCACAUAUACAAAGGACAAGACACCAGAUUGGCAUACAAAAAUACCAUAUAUUAAAAUUGGGUUCAUUGGAAAAACUCAGAACUUGCUAAGACACCAUCUACAACAGAGAGAGCAAGCAAGAAUGCUUUUAAGACAUUCAUAUUUAUAAACAGCAGCUUGAUAUCCCCCUUACAAAGUCAAUAUUUGGCAACAUUUGGACAAUAUUUUCUACACACCCCAGCAGCUCAUUUAUCUGUAGAGCUAUUUGGCCCUUUAAAAGAAAAGCUCUUAAAAUAAAUAAUCCACAUAAUUAUAAAUGAAACAUGUCAAGGACUUGAGUUAGCCUCUGAGCAGCAUUAAUCUAGCCAUCUGACUGGACUACUAGUUAUCAAGAGGGCCAAGAACUCACCAGUGGUGCCGUCAGAAAGGCAGGAACCCUGGACAGCACUUGCAUGGCUUAUGUUGGGAGUUUUAACCACCCCAAGCUGAAACCAGCCUCCCCACCUGCAACUGCUAAGUGAGGCCAACAGGAACAAGUGGUGGAAUAAAAAACAUAGUAAAUGACCAUAACCAGUAUAGAAACAGAAUUAUGAGUCUUCUAAACAGUAAUAACCUACUCAAGUCAGGACACAACCACAGACAUUGUGUUCCAGGGUUAAGAGGACAUCACUAGAGUUUGUCUGGGAUGACUCAGCAACCAACCCUAGAGUAGGUUCUGAAAUGGUCUAGUGUGCUGGCAACGCAAUGGGGCCUUCUUGGACCCUCUCGUCAGCUGAUCACAUUCCCUGUAUUGAAUUUGGUUGGCCAUACUGGAGUGACAGAUUGUGCUUGGCUGUUAUCCUCACUUAUCCUGUUUCUUCCUUCAGCUGAUUUCUGCCAUAAUUGACCUUCAGCUCCUAUAUAUUUUGUUUCAGAGCUAUAAUCUCCUUAUGGAUUUCCCUCUUUUUAUGCAAGUGUUUUCUUACUCUCUGGGUAUUUCUGCCUAUCUGCUGCUAUAGACCCAACGCCACAUCUCCACCUCCACCAUACAGGAUCUACCUAAGAGUUGGGCUGUUGCUCAGCCAGGAAAAUCCAACCAGGAAUAUUCUGAAGCACAGUGUAAAACACCAGCUACCAUGUCCUCUCGCUUUUUAAAUAGAGAUGACAUAGAUAUCUCAACUUGUUCCCCUUUAAGGAGCAUCUGCCUUAUCUACCUCCUCUUACAGCCCAUGCUCCUUCACCACCAUCAUAUCCAACCAUGUACUUCGGAAUUCUCAAAAAGCAAAUGUUUCCCUUUGUAAAAAUCUUGUUAGAACAACCCAAUAACACCCCAGGGAGACCACAAAAGACUUCCACAUGGGCUACUAGCCCUCCAUCCCAAGGUGAUGUAAUUUUAGAGCAGUGUUCUAGAACAGGGAUGAUUAUAAGAGGACACCCCCCUCUCCACCCAGAAAAACAAAAAAAAUAUGUGUGGUUGCAGGCUUAAAGAGACCCUUCGGUACUUUGCUGCAAAUACUACUGAUUGUCUCUAAAAAGAUCAUAAUAUGAAUAGUAUCAAAAACCUUAGACUAGAAUAAUAAAGUUCAGCUAACGAGAUGAGUGUUUUCAAGCACCACUACAUCAUAAGUGAGAUAUAUAGUGGGAUACCCCAGGCAGUGAAUCCUGAAAAAAAAAGAAAUCGUUGGCCCAACUGUGCAAGGAAACUUGUGCAGAAAAAUCGGAGCCAUAUUGCAAGAGUUCAAUAAUGGUGCUCUGCCCAUGACCACUUGAGCAGAGCCAAAAAAAUGUCAUUUGGAAGACAGAAAUUAAAUUCCCCACCUACUAAUGUUCUUCAGUGAUCAAUGGCUUUCCAAAUCCACUUCUUCAUAUAUCUGAAAAGUCCCCAAAGCUUAGUUAUAUAACUCUCCCCAAACUAGUUGACUUGACAAAAUUGAUGUGGCCUAUAGCAUUUGUUAAGAAAUUAAUAUCUAAAUUCAACACUGUAUAACCCACGCUGGAAAAUAUGAAUAACAUUUUACUUGAUUUUUUAACUUCAAUUAGCUAAAUUAUGUGUGUCUACAUAUAUAUAACUAUAUGUAUAGAUAGAGAUACAUAUCUAUAUACAGUGAUUCAAUUUUGUCAGCAAAAUCAGCAGCUUGAAUUUCCACUUAUUUUUUAGACGUGUUUCAUGUUUUGACAAAAUUCAGCACUGAUCAUCAUCACUUUUUGAAAAAGACUAUCACUUUCAAAGCGGUUACUGAAUUAUUUUGACUGUCUCCUUCUUUGGAGUUUUAGUUUUGCUAAGAAUUACUUCAUGGGUAACGUUUUACUAAGAAAGAUGGAAAUGGUAAGGAACAGCUCCUUCUUCUAAGUCAAAGAUGACAGAUUAACUGAUAACACUUUUUGUGUGGAAACAAAAUGCUGACUAGUAGGCAGCAGCAUUUUUCAAGGGAAGAUAAAAAUUCAAACUAUUUGCAUAACUUUCCUCUCAUACCAAUAAGCUUUGGGCCUCUAAUUUAUUCAUAAGUCUAAAGAAAAACUACCAUUGGGCCAAAAAAAUUCAUCAUUUUUAAGGACAAGCUAAAGAGUCCUGCCCAUUGAUGAGUUAUAUUAAAAAAAGAAAAAAAAAAUCUAAGUUGAAGCAAAUACAUUUGGAUUCCAUUAUUUUCAGACAAUGAAAAGCACCCUAACCAAUUUAGUUGCUGCAUAGGUUUUCAAAAAAAGUGAUGGGAACUCUUCAAAUCAAAAUCUAGACUGGAAUAAAUACUAUACUAUCAAGGAGAGUCUGAUCUUUCUGUGAAAAUAUAACUCAAAUUGAGUUUUCUGCCUUCCUUUACUCACUUAAAAAGCAAUUUUAGUAACUUCAGUAACCUUCGAGUCUUUAAAUUCCAUGGGCAAUGUUUUUUUAAUGUAAAAAAAAAAGUGUCUUUGUAAAAGACUUCAGAUCUCCAAUUCUUUCUGCGAUAACUAAAAUAAAAAAAUCAAACAAGACUAAAAUAAUGUCAAAUCUCACUCUAAAAAUAGUACCUAUGUUUUAGUCUGCCAUCUGAAAAAUGAUGCCCACAUAUUCCCACCCCAAACACAAUGACAAGCUGGCCGACUUCAAGGGCAACAAAAACACUCCCUAUGAACACUGCAAAACAAGCUUGCUCUUAUAUUUCACACAUUACUAAUGCAGUGAUGAAGUUUGGGUAAGAUGCUAGAAGUGAAGAGAAAUUUCAUUAGGCCUUUUUUUUUUUUUUUUUUUUUUUUUUUCCCCUAUUAACGGUUACUUUUUGGUCACAAGACCCUAAACACAAUUUCACAGUACAGGUCAUGCAAGUCAAACAUUUUACAGCUACUGUCUAACUACUGUUUCAGGACAAUAGAUUCACAUGCAGCUAAUGAUCCCAGAAGAAGGGCUUUAUCAAGCACUCUUUAAGCUUCACUGAUCAUUCCUCGGCCUGCAGUAUGUAAGUAAUAACCCCAAAGGGCAAUUAAUGCAUUUUUACGGUCAUACUUGAGAUCAUAUAUAUACAUAUAUAUUUUUAAAAGAUCAUAUAUUUUUGUAAGCCCAGAAAGGAAAAAAAAAAAGUUUUUUUAAGCCAACUGCAUGUUACUAAACCACAAACUGUCUUUUCACCUCACUCCAUUUACUCCACUAUCACUUGGAUGCAAGUUUCCAUUGCACAAGCCUCCAGAAAUGCACUGUCCAAUAUGGUAGCCACUAGCCACAAGUGAGUGACGUUUAUUUAAAUAACUUUAAAUUAAAUAAAAGACAAAAUCCAGUUCCAUACUCAGACUAACCCCAUUUCAACUGCCCAAUAGCCAAUGUGGCUACUGUACUGGACAGCACAGAUUACAGAACACUUCCAUCAUCACAGGAAGUUCUAUUGAGCAGCGCCAAUCUAAAAGAUCCCAAGGGCUGCACCAAGACACGGUUUCACCUUCAAGGGACCCACUUUAAAGUCAUGUGCAAAAUUACACUUAAUUAUAUUCCUAAGGAAAAUACCUUAAAGCUUUCUGAUCAUAAACUAUGACUGGAGCUGAGAACCCAUUUGCCUUUUCAGCACAACUUAAGCCCCAUGUCAUUAUACAAAAAUUUUCCAAAGACACUGCUUUUUGAUAGCAUACUGGGCUCUUCUUAGCAUAUUCUGCAUUCUGUCACCUAAGUCAAGAUCACUAAAAAAGACGAAAAUUCAUGCUUCUUAUAGUUUACUAUUUACACAACACUCAUGGUCCUUUACAUCUAAAGGGGGGGGGGAAUCAAUGUUUUGCAAUUUAAAAAACUCAAUUCACAUGGUUUUCUUUAACUGCCUAUACUCAUCCCUAAAUCAACCCUUCUUUCACUUCCCAGAGAGGUAGAUGCUAACUAAAAUGAAUAUAUAAAUCUACAAAAACAAAAGAUUUACACAAUAGUUGAGCUAGUAAAGGGUAUUCAUCCACCCUGAAAAAGAUCAUAGCCUUGACAGAGAUGUCAACAGGCCUAGAAAGGAGCAAAAGGAAACCACAGUGCAGAGUUCUGGUCCCCUUUUUGCUGAAGAAUGACAAACUGCCUCGCACCUCUGUGGGUCUCAGUGGACUCAUCUUCAAAAUGAAGCCACCGGAGGUUGCUUGCAUGUCUAACUCUCUGUGCUUUCAGUUGGGAUUUUUUUUUUUUUUUCCAUUGAUGUGCAACUGUGAAUUCUGGCUGAUUAUAUCACAGGACUGUGUCACAUGGGGUAGUUGAGUUGUUAGUGUUGUGGGUAAAUGCCAAAGAGACCACAGCAAUGGAAUGCCAAAUAACAUUAAACAUCAAGUCAAUAAAAAUUCUAUCUGUCAGGCUGAGACACACACACACACGCACACGCACACACACAAAGGCAGGAAUGCACACCUUGACAUGCAGAUAC
rnacentral:lncRNA from 1 species